GGGGUUGUGGCUCAGUGGUAGAGCACUUGCCUUGCACGCAUGAGGCCCCUGGGUUCAAUCCUCAGCCCCA
rnacentral:tRNA from 1 species